rnacentral:rRNA from 1 species
AAUAGAUACCCUGGUAGUCCACGCCGUAAACGAUGAGUGCUAAGUGUUAGAGGGUUUCCGCCCUUUAGUGCUGCAGCUAACGCAUUAAGCACUCCGCCUGGGGAGUACGGUCGCAAGACUGAAACUCAAAGGAAUUGACGGGGGCCCGCACAAGCGGUGGAGCAUGUGGUUUAAUUCGAAGCAACGCGAAGAACCUUACCAGGUCUUGACAUCCUCUGACAACUCUAGAGAUAGAGCGUUCCCCUUCGGGGGACAGAGUGACAGGUGGUGCAUGGUUGUCGUCAGCUCGUGUCGUGAGAUGUUGGGUUAAGUCCCGCAACGAGCGCAACCCUUGAUCUUAGUUGCCAGCAUUUAGUUGGGCACUCUAAGGUGACUGCCGGUGACAAACCGGAGGAAGGUGGGGAUGACGUCAAAUCAUCAUGCCCCUUAUGACCUGUGCUACACACGUGCUACAAUGGAUGGUACAAAGGGCUGCAAGACCGCGAGGUCAAGCCAAUCCCAUAAAAACCAUUCUCAGUUCGGAUUGU